AAUAAAUUCAUCAAUAAGGCCCUGUUGAGUAACUGACAAUAAUGGCCAAUAAAGCUCGGAUAGUUCACAAUUAUGGUGAUCAUGUAGUUAACAAACGCAAUUCUAUUAAUCACAUUAACAUGUUGGUAGAAGGCUACAAUUAGAGCUCAUCCAACAAUUCUAGUGAUCAGCUAGAAUUAUCAUUGAAUUAAUAUAAUGAAUUUAUUUACAGCCACAUCAAUGUAAAGAGGAAAGCUAGUUUUACUU
rnacentral:misc_RNA from 1 species